GGGUUUGUAGCUCAGUUGGCUAGAGCGCACGAUUCACAUUCGUGAGGCCGCAGGUUCGAGCCCUGCCAGACCCACCA
rnacentral:tRNA from 1 species